rnacentral:rRNA from 127 species
GAGGAAUAUUGGUCAAUGGGCGCUAGCCUGAACCAGCCAAGUAGCGUGAAGGAUGAAGGCUCUAUGGGUCGUAAACUUCUUUUAUAUAAGAAUAAAGUGCAGUAUGUAUACUGUUUUGUAUGUAUUAUAUGAAUAAGGAUCGGCUAACUCCGUGCCAGCAGCCGCGGUAAUACGGAGGAUCCGAGCGUUAUCCGGAUUUAUUGGGUUUAAAGGGAGCGUAGGUGGACUGGUAAGUCAGUUGUGAAAGUUUGCGGCUCAACCGUAAAAUUGCAGUUGAUACUGUCAGUCUUGAGUACAGUAGAGGUGGGCGGAAUUCGUGGUGUAGCGGUGAAAUGCUUAGAUAUCACGAAGAACUCCGAUUGCGAAGGCAGCUCACUGGACUGCAACUGACACUGAUGCUCGAAAGUGUGGGUAUCAAACA